UACGUAGGGUGCGAGCGUUGCCCGGAUUUAUUGGGCGUAAAGGGCGCGUAGGCGGCUCGGCACGUCCGUUGUGAAAUCGCCCGGCUCAACUGGGCGGGGUCAGCGGAUACGGUCGAGCUUGAGCAAGCUAGGGGGUAAUGGAAUUCCCGGUGUAGUGGUGGAAUGCGUAGAUAUCGGGAGGAACACCAGUGGCGCAGGCGGCGUCCUGGACCGGCACUGACGCUGAGGAGCGAAAGCGUGGGGAGCGAUCCGG
rnacentral:rRNA from 1 species